UACGUAGGGUGCAAGCGUUGUCCGGAAUUGUUGGCGUAAAGGGCUCGUAGGCGGUCCAUCGCGUCGGGAGUGAAAAGCUGGGGCUUAACCCCAGUCCUGCUUCCGAUACGGGUGGACUAGAGGUAGGUAGGGGAGAACGGAAUUCCUGGUGUAGCGGUGAAAUGCGCAGAUAUCAGGAGGAACACCGGUGGCGAAGGCGGUUCUCUGGGCCUUACCUGACGCUGAGGAGCGAAAGCAUGGGAAGCAAACAGG
rnacentral:rRNA from 1 species